rnacentral:rRNA from 1 species
AGUGAACGCUGGCGGUAGGCCUAACACAUGCAAGUCGAACGGCAGCACAGUAAGAGCUUGCUCUUACGGGUGGCGAGUGGCGGACGGGUGAGGAAUACAUCGGAAUCUACUUUUUCGUGGGGGAUAACGUAGGGAAACUUACGCUAAUACCGCAUACGACCUACGGGUGAAAGCAGGGGAUCUUCGGACCUUGCGCGAUUGAAUGAGCCGAUGUCGGAUUAGCUAGUUGGCGGGGUAAAGGCCCACCAAGGCGACGAUCCGUAGCUGGUCUGAGAGGAUGAUCAGCCACACUGGAAGUGAGACACGGUCCAGACUCCUACGGGAGGCAGCAGUGGGGAAUAUUGGACAAUGGGCGCAGGCCUGAUCCAGCCAUACCGCGUGGGUGAAGAAGGCCUUCGGGUUGUAAAGCCCUUUUGUUGGGAAAGAAAAGCAGCAGGUUAAUACCCCGCUGUUCUGACGGUACCCAAAGAAUAAGCACCGGCUAACUUCGUG